rnacentral:rRNA from 1 species
UACGGGGGGUGCAAACGUUGCUCGGAAUCAUUGGGCGUAAAGCGCACGUAGGCGGACCGCUAAGUCGGGUGUGAAAGCCCCGGGCUCAACCUGGGAAUUGCAUUCGAGACUGAAUAGCUAGGGUACGGUAGAGGGAAGUGGAAUUUCCGGUGUAGCGGUGAAAUGCGUAGAUAUCGGAAGGAACAUCAGUGGCGAAAGCGACUUCCUGGACCAGUACCGACGUUCAGGCACGAAAGCGUGGGGAGCAAACAGG